rnacentral:rRNA from 1 species
UACAGAGGUCUCAAGCGUUGUUCGGAUUCAUUGGGCGUAAAGGGUGCGUAGGUGGCGCUGUAAGUCGGGUGUGAAAUUUCGGAGCUUAACUCCGAAACUGCAUUCGAUACUGCGGUGCUUGAGGACUGGAGAGGAGACUGGAAUUCAUGGUGUAGCAGUGAAAUGUGUGGAGAUCAUGAGGAAGACCAGUGGCGAAGGCGGGUCUCUGGACAGUUCCUGACACUGAGGCACGAAGGCCAGGGGAGCAAACGGG